rnacentral:lncRNA from 1 species
GUGCUUGUGUGUAGAGUGUGGCUGCCCUGUGCCUUCUCCUGAAUGUGGUUUUUCAUAUGAUCCACAGGGAAUGAGACAGUAUGUGAACUCCAAACUAAAGAUGGAUUCCAGAGCUUCUCUGUCAGGCUUCCAACCCUUCGUAAAAGCUUCACUCUGCGAGGGAAUUUGGCCUGCUAUCACAGGUCAACAUCGAACCUAACCACUGAAUGUGACCCAGCUCUCGUCCAAUUCAGCCUGCGACCAGAAGAGUGGAAAGAAUUAACUUUGUGAACUGAGGCACAGCUGUACUUAGCAGGAUCACUACAUAACUCUGGGGCCCACCGAGUUUGAGAACCACUGCUAAAGCUGAAGAAACUGGCUUUGCCCUGCUUUAAUUCAUCUGUAUUUUUUAUCUUGUAUCGGGU